rnacentral:rRNA from 1 species
CAACUUUGCAACGGAUCUCUGGUUCUCCCAUCGAUGAAGAACGCAGCGAAUUGCGAUAAGUAAUGUGAAUUGCAGAAGUGAAUCAUCGAAUCUUUGAACGCACCUUGCGCUCCCGGCAGAUUUAAUCUGGGGAGCAUGCCUGUUUGAGGGCCGCGA